rnacentral:rRNA from 1 species
ACGAAGGGUGCAAGCGUUACUCGGAAUUACUGGGCGUAAAGGGCGCGUAGGCGGCUUGAUAAGCGUGCGGUGAAAGCCCGGGGCUCAACCCCGGGUCGGCCGUGCGAACUGUCGAGCUGGAGCACUGUAGAGGCAGGUGGAAUUCCGGGUGUAGCGGUGGAAUGCGUAGAGAUCCGGAAGAACACCGGUGGCGAAGGCGGCCUGCUGGGCAGUGGCUGACGCUGAGGCGCGACAGCGUGGGGAGCAAACAGGA